rnacentral:rRNA from 1 species
GCAUUAUACCGUGAAACUGCGAAUGGCUCAUUAAAUCAGUUAUCGUUUAUUUGAUAGUACCUUACCACUUGGAUAACCGUGGUAAUUCUAGAGCUAAUACAUGCUAAAAACCCCGACUUCGGAAGGGGUGUGUUUAUUAGAUAAAAAACCAAUGCCCUUCGGGGCUCCUUGGUGAUUCAUGAUAACCUAACGGAUCGCAUGGCCUUGCGCCGGCGACGGUUCAUUCAAAUUUCUGCCCUAUCAACUUUCGAUGGUAAGGUAUUGGCUUACCAUGGUUUCAACGGGUAACGGGGAAUUAGGGUUCGAUUCCGGAGAGGGAGCCUGAGAAACGGCUACCACAUCCAAGGAAGGCAGCAGGCGCGCAAAUUACCCAAUCCCGAUACGGGGAGGUAGUGACAAUAAAUACUGAUACAGGGCUCUUUUGGGUCUUGUAAUUGGAAUGAGUACAAUUUAAACCCCUUAACGAGGAACAAUUGGAGGGCAAGUCUGGUGCCAGCAGCCGCGGUAAUUCCAGCUCCAAUAGCGUAUAUUAAAGUUGUUGCAGUUAAAAAGCUCGUAGUUGAAACUUGGGUCUGGCUAGCGGGUCCGCCUCACCGCGUGCACUUGUCCGGCUGGACCUUUCCUUCUGGAGAACCUCAUGCCCUUCACUGGGUGUGUUGGGGAACCAGGACUUUUACUUUGAAAAAAUUAGAGUGUUCAAAGCAGGCCUUUGCUCGAAUACGUUAGCAUGGAAUAAUAGAAUAGGACGUGCGGUCCUAUUUUGUUGGUUUCUAGGAUCGCCGUAAUGAUUAAUAGGGAUAGUCGGGGGCAUCAGUAUUCAAUUGUCAGAGGUGAAAUUCUUGGAUUUAUUGAAGACUAACUACUGCGAAAGCAUUUGCCAAGGAUGUUUUCAUUAAUCAGUGAACGAAAGUUAGGGGAUCGAAGACGAUCAGAUACCGUCGUAGUCUUAACCGUAAACUAUGCCGACUAGGGAUCGGGCGAUGUUUCUAUCUUGACUCGCUCGGCACCUUACGAGAAAUCAAAG